UACGUAGGCAGCGAGCGUUGUUCGGAGUUACUGGGCGUAAAGGGUGCGUAGGCGGUUGUUUAAGUUUGGUGUGAAAUCUCCCGGCUCAACUGGGAGGGUGGUCGCGAGACGGCAGGGCUUGAGGCUCGGUGAGGGGCGUGGAAUUCCGGGUGGAGCGGUGAAAUGCGUAGAGAUCCGGAGGAACACCGACGGCGUAGGCAGCGCCCUAGACGAGAUCUGACGCUCAGGCACGAAAGCGCGGGGAGCGAACAGG
rnacentral:rRNA from 1 species